GCAUGCAUCCCUGGGUCUAUUUUUGGACUCUGUUCUGUCUAAUCUUGUGCCAGCCUCACAGUGUUUUGUUCAUUGUAGCUUUAUUGCUGGUGAGGAGGGAUGGGAAGAGUGCUACAACGUGUACUGUGAUGUACAAAAGCCGAGUGGGAGGAGAAGUCAUGGCAAGGGAUUCAAAGAAGCCAGAAGCUAAAGAGGGAAUGUGUGCAGCAGGAAGAGGGAAUGGCACUAUGUGAGGGCGGGCUUGGAUCACGUAGGGCCUGGAGGCCGUGUAAACUGCAUCUUUAUCCUUAGAGCCAAGGGGCCACAGAAGAGUUCUGACCAGAGGAAUAACAUGACCAGGUCUGUGUUUUAUUCAACUUUCUCUGGACUUCUGUUUCCACCCACGAUGGAGUAACUGGCACCGGACCAGCCUUCACACCACAAACCUGUAUAAAACUUGACGAGACAUAAAGGAUAGCUAUUCUUGGGCCGUGAAUGACAGGCAGCAGAAGACUGCUGAUCCCUGACUGAAGGGAAAACUCAUGAGGUGAAGGAACUAGAGGCUUGGAGGGCAGAUGACAUCUGAAAGCGGCUAAUGAACAGCUGAGAUGAGCGCAAACCGGUCUUCUGACUCCUAAAUCCUGGGCGUCUCUGCUUAGAAGACGAUCACUGAGCUGCCACAGGAGACGUGUCCACAAACAGGUUUAUUUUUUAAAUCAUAAAACGGGGACACGGGUUCGAGCC